AGGGCUGAAGCUCCGCCACCCAUAGGAGGAUUAACUGAGUGAAUCACAAGAUCCUCUUCCACCCCAGCAAUUGCUAAGCAGCUACCAGGAUGGAGAUAGCUGUGAGGUGGGAAACAAAAAGGACUCACAUAUGCUCAUAUGUGGGAAAUAGCACUUUCUGAAUGUGUGACCCAGCACAGCUGAGUGAUUGACAGACAGCCCAAGAGGAAUAAACUUCUCGGUGUAUGGUCUUCA